rnacentral:lncRNA from 1 species
CCCGCCCACCAGCCCGGGUCCACCCGCGAGGCGCGGGGCACAGGCUUGGCAGAUGCACACGAGGAAGAGGAAGGGAUCCUCGCAAGCUUUGAAAGGCGCCGUCAAGUCAAAUAAAUAAAUGCCCUACAACACCAACCCAGGACUGAGAUCUGCAUGCUGGAAUGACGGUGGUGGUGGUGGCUUUCAGUAUUCCCCAGGUUUUGUCCGGAGCACCGGCACGCCCUCUCUUGAAGUCCGCUCUCCGCACAGCCUCUUUUUAACUUGAUUAGUGGUUAGACGGGAAGAUCCGGAGCUGUCCAGUGUCUUGGGUAAUGCACGGCAUCGCCUGAUGUCUGACGCUAGAACACCACGUAAAGUCAAGCAGAGGGAAGUGAAUGCGCCCUAGGCCCCUGCAGGCCACCAAGAAGAGCUAGAGGGAGUUGGUGCAAUCCUAGAGAUGCCGGCAGGUGCACCAAUCUGUGGCACACGUACGCUCUCCAAUGGAAGACAACUCAAGACCACACCAAGUUUGUAUUAAAAAAGUACUGUUGUGUUACUUUUUACCAACCUCCAAUCAUUAUACAAAAUGUUAAAAAAUACACAAACACACACACACACUCACAGCCAUAGAGGUUAUCGCAAAAGAUCAACCCAGAAUCUUUCAGAAUAUGACAGAUGCACUGAGAAGGCAGAUAAAUUGAUUCAAUAUACAAAAGGCCUCUUUCCUAUGGAAUUUCAUUAGAUUAAAUAAGGUGUUCCCUCCUCACAGCCUCAUCCUUAUGAGCAAUCAUAUAAAUAAUCUAUUUAAAGUCCUUGAACUAUAACUUGUAUAAUUUUUAGUUUUCCCCCUUUGAAGGGGCCUAAGAGAAAGGUUUGAGAAACCAGCUCUUGAGGGGGGCAGGGGUGAGGGGUAAGAGGUCCUGUGCCUUUCAUUCAUCCUGGGAGCUUCUCAGGAUUGCAGCAUUUCCACCUGAGUGUUCAUUCUUGUACAUUUUCUCAUCUUUCUCCUGGGUUCCUAGGAUCUUGGAGAUUACCUAGUCCAAUCCUUUUACUUCAGAAACAAAAAACCUGAGGCUCAGAAAGGCUAAGUCAAAUGCCUAGGGUCACACAGGGAAACUGUGGGAGUUGGAUCCCUGAGUCCCAGUCCUUAAACUGGUUGCUACAUGACAUUCUAGAACCUCUCCCCACCAACUCCCUUUUUAAAGACAGGGUCUGGUUCUGUCACCCAGGCUGAAGUGCAGUGACAUGAUCUUGGCUCACUGCAACCUCCGCUUCCUGGGCUCAAGCCAUUCUCCCACCUCAGCCUCCCAAGUAGCUGGGACAACAGGCACAUGCCACUACGCCCAGUUAAUUUUUCUAAUUUUGUUUUGUAGAGACAGAUUUGCCAUGUUGCCCAGGCUGGUCUCGAAUUACUGGCCUCAAGCGAUACGCCUGUUUAGGCAUCCCAAAGUGCUGGGGUUACCGGCAGGAGCAAUUGCUCCGGGCCAGACUUCCCUUCCCCCGCCCACACCCCCCCAACCCGGCCUAGAUCCACAGGCACUGUAAUCACAGCUGACACACUCGACUCGGAAUCAGCAUAGAGAGCACUCUGAAAAUUGUCAAAUAGGGUCCCUGAAACUUGUAUACCAUACUUCUCCUGAAGAUCUUGAAGCAUCUUUGUGUUUGCUUUUUUUUUUUUUAACUUAAAAUAUGGCAUUCAGGUUUUAUCCCUCUCCCCGACGCCAUGUUUCCUUUCUGUAUUAGUCACACACGUGAUCCUAAAGUCUGUCUUCCCCACUUUAACUGGGGAGGGCUGGACAAGGUGGAAUUCCAAUUGCAGGAGACAGGAUGUGACAUGGGUGAGGUGCCCAAGGCUCACCGACUGAAACUUCGAUGGCUCUUCCCUGUUUCCUUGUGCAGGGCCCCCCUUCUCUCCACUGCUCACCUGGCUCUCCUCCUCCCUUCCUGCCUGCUUUGCAGCUCUUGCUACUAUUUUCCUUUUCUUUCCCUGCUCCCACCCUGGCCCAAUUUAUUUCACAGAAAUAUCACAGGGCCAGCCAGGCACAGCGGCUCACCCCUGUAAUCCCAGCACUUUACGAGGCUGAGGAGGGCAGAUCACUUGAGGUCAGGAGUUUGAGACCAGCCUGGCCAACAUGGUAAAAUCCUGUCUCUACUAAAAAUACAAAAAUUUGCUAGGCAUGGUGGCAGGCGCCUGUAAUCCCAGCUACUUGCGAGGGAGGCUGAGGCAGGAGAAUCACUUGAACCUGGGAGGCGGAUGUUGCAGUGAGCCAAGAUCACACCAUUGCGCUCCAGCUUGGGCGACAGAACGAGACUCUGUCUC